UAUAAUCAUGUUUGUUAGUUAUUCUAUUUAUGAUGAAGUGUUGAAGCUAGUUUCAAAUCUAUGUUUUUUAUGACUGAGUUUAUUCCUGAUGUGAUUGUUCUGAAUGAGAAUGGUGUUUUGUGUAAUUUAGGAAUAAUAUAAAAUUUCGGUAGGUUUGUGGUUUUGUUGUAAUUUAUAAUUUUUAGUGAGUUUUCUACAUUUUUAAUAUCUUUCUUAAUUUUAGUUUCAGUUGUUCUUACGAAAGUGUAUUUACAAUUGUUAUUAAUUAGAAGGUCAUGAUAUAAAUUUUUACAUAUGAUAGAUAAAUUACACUGGUCAACAAGAUUUUUGCACAAGAGAACCUGAUUAUGUUUCUAGUGUAACUUUUCAUGCUGAACUCAAAAAUCUAAUCAGAAAUUUCCUAUCACCUAUGGUUUUUGCGUUACGGUCUUUUUUAGUAUUGGGAUAAAUACAGUUUUGCACAACCCUUAUUACAUUACACUGGUUUAUCAAAAAAUAUUUUUUUUGUCCACAAAGAAAUAGCAUCUUAUCUACAUGUCCUGAAUCCAAAUAUACCAUUAGUUUUUUUCUAUUACGUAAUAUUUCUGAGAUACACCUACUUGAAAUUUGGAAAUAUUGUUAAUAUAUAGGCAUAUAUGAACGAAACAUAUUUAUUUAUUGAAAAGCAGUGACAGUGGAUUUUCUUCUAUACUUUGCUUGUGGUAGAUCCCUCUUGAGUGUCCAGCAGUAGUCGGCAAGCAUAGCGGGACUCCAUUUACCUUGGUACCGCUUCUCCAUGCUUGAUAUAUCUUGAUGAAACCUCUCACCAUGCUCAUCGCUAACUGCGCCAAGAUUGUCUGGAAAGAAAUAUAGAUCUGAAUGCAGGAAAUGGAUCUUGAGGGACAUGUUACAUCCUAGUGCCUUGUAGGAAAGCAACAGAUCAUUAACUAUGUCUCGGUAAUUUUCAACCUUGACACUUCCUAAGAAGAUUUUGCAAACCUUCCUAAAGGAAUUCCAUGCUGCUGCUUCAACUUCAUUCAAACUAUUUAGAAAAUUUCCAUUUUGCUGCAAUUCUCGAAUCUGAGGUCCAACGAAAAUGCCUUCUUUAAUCUUCGCUUCACUUAUUCUAGAAAAUUUUUGUUUUAGGUAGGCAAAUCCACUGGCAUUUCGAUCCAUUGCCUUGACAAAGUUUUUCAUUAAUCCCAGUUUAAUAUGUAAUGGUGGUAAGUAAAUAAUUUCUGAAUCGAUCUGGGGUAGAUUUGCAAUAUUUUUAUAUCCUGGAGUAAAUAUUUAAUGGUUUGGCCAGAUUUUUUUAAUGUAAUGCCUUUCCCUAUCUCUGCUAUCCCACUCACACAGAAAACAACAAAAUUUUGUAUAUCCAAGCUGUAAUCCACGCAAGAGAGCAACGACUUUCAAAUCGCUGCAUAUUUUCCAACCGUAUCUUUCAUAUUCUAUCUUUUUCAAAAGCAGUUUCAUUUAUUAUGGCAUAUAUAUUCAUAUAUUUAUAUAUAUUUAUCCCAAUACUAAAAAAAGACCAUCAGGCAAAAACCAUGUGUGAUGGGAAAUUUCUGAUUAGAUUUUUGAGUUCAGCAUGAAAAGUUACACUAGAAACACCAUCAGGUUCUCUUGUGCAAAAAAAAAAAGUUUUUUUUUGUAGACCUGUGUUAUUUGAACAUUUAUCUAUUGGACAUAUGAUAAAAUAUUUUUGUAGGCCUUCAAAAGUGUCUUUCAAUAUACCUUCUACCUGUCUAAUUAUAUCAUAUUAAUUAAUGGUUAAUUCUGUAUAGCUUGGAAUAUGGUCUACAAAUGAUUCAGGUAAUAUUGAAUUUGUAGAUGCACUAUCUAUAAAUUUCUAUUUUGAAAGUUUGUACCUCUUGUCAACUAGUAUUUGAAGGUCCAGCAUCACUUGGUGUAGCAGCCUGGUGUGGGUUGGAGCUCUUCAAAGCAUGGCAUGGUUGUCCUUGCUGAGUUGGUGGUGGUGUAUAAAAACUUGGAGGAUGGGUGGAGAAUGGAGCUGGUGAGCUCCUGGAGGAUGAACCCGGGUUGGGGGGCUGCGGUAUGGGCCCACUGUAUGGUAGUGCCACUGCGACUGUACCUCGCAGAUUCCACACAGAGAAUCUUGUCAGCCACAAUGGGACAUGUGGCUCGACCACCAAGAAGGGGUUUCUAUCUCUGACCAGCUUGGUGUUGGUGGGGUCAGGUCAUCCACCACAGGUCAGAUGGCUUGACCACAAGUAAGGGGCAUCUGAGUCCAUCUUGGACUCUGGUUAGGGUUGGCUUGCGGCAAAGUCUCGGACCUUCUCUCCAACCUUCUGCCUGCAGGAGAAGAAUUGGCUCCGCAUCUCUCUGGUGGAGAUUUUUUUUUUUAAACCUUCUUCCCAGGCUCUCCUUCAACUCUUUAUAUCUCAACCGAAUCUGUUGAGACUGGAGGGCAAACCCCCUUGGAGCUCGUGGUGGAGUUGGUGUUCUGCCUGAAGAUGGUGAUUUUAACACCCACCAUGGGCUUGUGGCUUGCCCAUAGGCAUGCUGGAGUCUGGCUUGACUACAGGGAAGGGGUGUCUGAGUCCAUCUUGGACUCUGGCUUGGGUUCAAGUCAGCCACAAUGGGACAUGUGGUUCGACCACCAGAAAGCUCAGACCUGCUUGGUAGGGCCAGGUCAUCCAUCACAGGUCAGGUGGCUUGACCACAGGAAGGGGUGUCUGAGUCUAUCUUGGACUCUUGCUUGUUUCUGGCCAUCUUUGUCCAUGUUGGAGCACCAAGAAGGAGUUGUCAUAUUAGGACAAAAAUUGGUGUACACAGUGUGGCAAAUAAUUUUUAAGAAUGGGUUUGUAAAAUAAAAUUGAAACAAGCUAAUUCAAUUUCUACUAUUUUUUUAUUCAAAAUAAUCCCCUCCGGAUUCAAUACAUAUGUUACAACGAUUUAAUAAGAAAUUAAAUGCCUCUUGCAGGCCACUUUGAGGAAUCGCCUCCAAAGUGCUUGUCGCAGCUGUCUGGAUGGUCUGGAUAUCAUAAAAAAAAAACAACCUUUCAACUUCAAUUUUAUUUUUGGGAAUAAUUGCUAAUAGCACUACUAAACCACCCAUGGGUUGUGGAUCAUCACGGAUAUCCUGUAAUGUCCGAUCAAGGGCUUCCAAGGCAAUUUUAUGGGCCAUGGUGCACUCAUCCCAAACCAGCAACUUACAGCUAUGUAAGAGUGAACCUUUAUCACUAUUUUUUCGUAUAUUGCAAACAGCAGUCUGGCCCUCUGCAAAAAGUAAUUUCAGCACUGAAUGUGCAGUUCUUCCGCUCGCAAGCAAUGUCGCAGCUAUCCCUGAGGAAGCAACAGCAAUGGCAAUAUUUUGUUCCUUCCUAACCAUUGCUAAUAGAAGAUUCAAAAGAAAUGUUUUACCUGUUCCCCCCGGCGCAUCUAAAAAUAUAAUUAUGGGUUGUGACAAAUUAAUUCUUGCUAAAACAGCAUCAAAAACUCUUCUUUGUUCUGGCAAGAGUUUGGGAAUCAUGGAUGCAACAUUGUCUUCAAGUUCUGCGUAUCAUACGCAAGUUCUCUCAAAAUGUCAGAAUUGGUAACCACAUUUCUCCUGGGUGCUCCUAAGCCUAAUUCCUGCAGUUUCUUCCCACAUAUAGAUACGACACGAUCCUCAAUGUUACACAAUGUUUCAUUAUACAUCAGAUCAUUAUACCUGAUCAUAUCUGUUCAUAAAAUAUGAUAAAUAUGAUUUAAAAUAAAUGCAUUUUUCCCCUAUGCACUAUGCUAAGCAGUGACCAACACUCAGGCAAAGGGAGAAACAAAACAAACUAGUUCCUCACGCCCACUUCCUGGUCUGUGGUGACCUCCUGUAGCAUGCCGUCUCCUUGAAGAUGUCCAUGGGGUUCUGGACCUGGGGUAGGGUUGGCUUGUACUCCAGGCUGCAUACUACAAUUAUUGUACAAAUAUUGAGAUCUGAUGUAUUAUUUGGAAUAUUUAUGGUAAUGUCCUCAUAGUACAAAUAUUGAGAUCUGAUGUAUUAUUUGGAAUAUUUAUGGUAAUGUCCUCAUAGUACAAAUAUUGAAGUCUGAUGUAUUAUUUGGAAUAUUUAUGGUAAUGUCCUCAUAGUACAAAUAUUGAGGUCUGAUGUAUUAUUUGGAAUAUUUAGGUAAUGUCCUCAUAGUACAAACAUUGAGGUCUGAUGUAUUAUUUGGAAUAUUUAUGGUAAUGUCCUCAUAGUACAAAUAUUGAGGUCUGAUGUAUUAUUUGGAAUAUUUAUGGUAAUGUCCUCAUAGUACAAAUAUUUGAUUUAUAAAUGCUACGUCACCCUCCUCUUUAUUUCUAUAUUUUCUGAUGAUAUUGUAGUUUUUAUAUUUGAGUUUGUAUUUUUCAUUUAAUUUGGGGUUUACUGUAGAGCUAUAAUUUGUACCUUGUGUUUGUCAGCUAUUUCCAUUAUUUCUUGUAAUUUUAUUUUUGUUGCCGUUGAGCACAUUCCAUUUAUGUUGCACUGCAAAAUGCUUAAUUAUUUGGAAGCUGCAAAUUUUAGAGUUUGUGUGGACUGUGACUGUAUUAAACUUAUCGGACAGAACCCUCUACCAAUUAAUUGAAGGAAAGACUGAACGCAGUGCCAAAAAUUGAGAUGAGAAUGGUGGUGUUCUUUACAUUUGACAAGCUUCUUAUACACAAGGGGUUUAAUUCAUAUUGGGGCUUGUGUGAGGAUUUCACGAUGGGUUGAAUGUUGAACAUAGAACAAACCUGUGUCUGUUUACAGGGUAAAGCUAUUUGAUUUAUAAGAACAGAGAAUAAUAAUAUUGUUCUACCUGCAUUUUUGUUCUAGCUGCAUUUUUCGGUGAUAAUAUUGGGUGACUGUUUCAUUUUCUUGUUGUAUGAUUUUCAUCAUUUCAACCAAUGGUGUAAGUUUGGCUUUCUGGUAUCUAGUUAUAAGGUUUUCUUUGAGUUUAUUCCAGUCCCCAAUAUGGCAAAGGCUUUUGAAGUAAUAGGUUAAAGCCUCAUCCUGUAAGUAAUCCGAUAAAUGAAGUACCUUCCAACUAUUAUCAAACCCAUAAGAAUCACUUUUUCUUUCAAAAUUUAUAAUCCAAGUUUUAAUAUUUAAAUUAUUAUUGUAUUUUACAAAAGACGACAUCACCUGAUAUGCAAAUUCAACAUCUUUUUCUCUUUUUGCUUUUGCCAUUAUUUCACAAGUUCCAAAUAAAUUGAUAUAAAAUUUAAUAAAAAUUAGGUAAAUUCUGUCGACUUAUUUGUUAUGAUUAAUUUUUUGUGUUUUGUUGUUGAAAAGAGGUCCAGUCGUGGAAAAGUAAAUAUAAUUAUUUACCUUUCAAGUAGAUUUUAUUUUGAAUUACUUGAAGUAAAAAUACACAUAAAAUUAUUUAUCACUGCAAUAUAGAAUUUAUACAAUGAAUUCUAUAAUCGUGAUUUUAAUUAAAAAAGGUAGGGUAACUAUACAUAUUUAUAACGAUAAUAAUUAAAGUGGGUAUUUUUUGAAUCUAUGGUCAAGUAUGUCUUCGCUCAUACUCUCUUUAUGCUUCUCCCAUAGGCCUCUUGGGUCUGAAGGCGAGCAGGUUGUCAAAAUGAUAGCAAACAGAGUUUGUAUUUGCUUAGGAUGACAUGUUUCAGAUGCUUCUGCCAGUGUGUUGUCCCAAUGCUGAUCAUUUUUAAGCAGACCAAGCUUGAAGCAUGCCUCUCUAUAUGUCUGACAGAUUUGGCCGUUGACGGUUUUGAUAGCUUCGAACGAUUUCGGUCCUUUGACUAUACAUGAAGCAGCAUUCGCAAAUAGUAGCAUUCAGCAUUGCUCGGAUGGACAGUAUACACUUGCCCCAAUGCGCCAGUGGAAAACACCUGAACCAUUGAAGAGUGCAGCAUGCCUUGUUUUCUCCAUUGCCACUUCUUCGUUGACUGAUUCCAUGUGUAAUACGUCGGAACCUCAUGAUACAGCAAUGUUGCAGCGAAUGUGUCACUGGCACACAAUUGAAAAAAUGCAGUCAACAUUGUAUUGGGUGGAUUUUCAGCUCGCUGGGCCGCGCUCUCUUCUGUGAAGUAUACUCGUUGACCAUUUUCCAAAUGCACACUGAGAUGGACGACAGCAGGAGAGCGUUCGUGGAUGUCAAAGCCAAGGAUUUGCCAUACAGCUUCAUUGCUGCUGAUAUAACGUCCCAUUUGAAACUGGUCGAUUUCAUUGACGGGUGCAUUUGGAUUUUUGAAGUCCAAAAACUGCCAUAUCACUGCCCUUAUUCACGUAUUUACAAAUGUAUUUGAUCGAUUUGACAGAAUUGCAAUACUCCACGUUGAUAUGCGCAUCAAAUGCUUUCGAGAGCAAAGGAGAGUAAGGCACAAUCCACUGGUUAUCAACCUCAAAAUCAACGUGAUUGAGUUUGAUUGUUGCUGUGUGGCCACCAUCCUCUGGUUUUCGUCGUCUGUACAGAGGAUAACCGUCGCCACCAGUUUGUGUGUCAUGCACCAGGUCUCUUGGAUACUUUUUGGUGCAUUUGCCGUCCUUUAUGCACGGUGAAUGUGGGUUUUGCGCUCCACACGGUCCGUGAAUCAUAUAUUUCUUGAUAAUCUGGUACAAUUAAGGAUCUUCUUGUGGAUCUGGCAGCUCAGCAGAAAUGAUAUUAUCGAUUUGAGUUGGAAGAAUUUUUUCCUCCAACCAAAUCAAGAUGUGAGCAUGUGGAGUGCCUCUUUUUUGCCAUUCGAUGGAAUACAUCCAGCAGCGUGUUGGACCGUAUAUAUGGUUCUUAACGAUGAGAUCAAUAAAACAUUUCAAUUUCUGUUUGAAAACUCUCGCUGUGAGGUCAUGCCGAUGAGAUGACUGUUGGCCAGGCAGAAGUAGAUUUUUGAUUUCGGCCCAUGCUGGAUUGCAAGUGAAUGUGAGGAAAAGAUCUGGACGUCCAUAUGUGCGAACAUAAGUCAUAGCAUCCUGAGCAUAUUCAUGCAUAUGUCUCGGACUUCCAGUGUACGAAGCUGGAAGUAUGACCAUUUGCCCAAUGUUCGCAGCAGCAGCGGCUCCAUCAUUCGCGAUUGCAUCCCGCAAAUGAAUGUAUUGGUCAGCUCGAAGCUUUGACUGAUUGAAGUGAAUGUAGUUGAGACGUUCGCUUUCGACUUUGGCAUACAUGUCAACGAUGAAUUGUUGGAAAAGUUGACGACACUUCAGGAUGGGGUUGGAUUCUUGGGCUCGAAUCAUGAUGCGAUAUGCAUAGAAGUCCAUACAGCUGACUUUUUCAUUGUCACGGCGCCUGAGAUAGGAUGAACUUGAUACAGUUCGAGAUGAUAUCCGUCUUCACCGCGCGGAAAAAGUAUUGGAUAUUGAAGGGCGUCGUACGAUCGGUGCGUUUCAGCAACACGUUGCUUGGUUCCAUCUCGUCUGCAGAUAACAAUAUCUCGUCGGGCGAUCUCUGUACCGACAAUCACAGCUGCUACUUCAGGAGUCAUCGGAGCAUUGAAGCGUCGUUCAUGCUCAUUCGUCGGCGUCUUGUCUGCCCUGAUGAUGAAUUUCAUAUCAUCUGCUCGCACAUUCUCUACUGCGGAUUUGAAAUCUCGGACCAAACAGUUGUGCUCGUGGAAUAGCGUUUGUAAUUCAGCGAUGAUUGCCCGCCUUGUUGCUUCACUGAAUGCGCAUCGUCGAUCAAUCUCCUCCUCCACGUUGUCCAUGAAAUAAAUCUGCAAAAACCUCGGAUCUUCAUUGGGUACUGGAAGAAGUGAACAAUGAAGAAAAUAUGGUAAAUUUUCUGUCCAUCAAAUAGACGCGGAAUUUAUCCACACUCUCAACGAUUGCUAGGCAUUCUAAUUCAGAGCUGGAGUAGUUCCGUUCAUGUGAACGCAGGGAGCGGCUGAAGUAUUGGACUGGGUAGGUCUUCCCAUUGGGGUGGGCCUGUUUAAGGAUGCCUGCUAUGCCGAGGGUUGAUGCGCUACAGUACACUUGGCAUGGCAGACCUUCCUGGUAAAUUUGUAAAGUGGGGUGUGUGGUGUGUCUUUCAGGCUAGUGAACGCUUUCUGGCAUUUAUCAUCCUAAACCCACGUGACAUCCUUUUUGAGAAGGUUGUUAAGUGGCGUCCGUAAGCGGGCGUAGUCCGAGACGAAUUCUUUAUAAGCGUUCACAGCGCUUAAGAAGGAUCGCAAUGUUUUGCGAUCGUGUGGUUGUUGGAUAGCGUGAAUUGUUUCUAUGUUUCGUGUUAGUGGUGUGGUGGUACUAUCAGUAAUGGUGCAUGUGUUUGAGUUGUGUUUCUGUCGCCUUUUUGUGCGAGUGUCGCGCUUGUUGCGAUGUUUACGCGUGUGACUGUGAUGAUGUGUGGUCAUUGGUGUACCUAGUGUGAGAGUUGUUCUGUUGGAUGGACACUGGUUGGGCAAUUUUGGGGUGAGUUUGGGCUAUUGUGGCAUUGUGCAUUGAGAGCAUAUAAUAAGGACAAUUGGCCUUAGUGAAAUAAUUGUGUUGUGCGUGCGCGUGACUACGAGGGUGAGUAGAAAAGUAAGGUCUCCUAUUUUUUUUUUUCAUAGAAAAACACAUUUAAUCACAACCUUUUAUACAUCAUUGGAAAGGUUGGACACUUUGCUAUUUUUCUACAUAGUCGCCUUGAUGCUCAAUCACUUUUUUCAUCCUGUCAACCAACUUUGUAAUUCCGGUGUUGUACCACUCUCCCGCCGCCUCUUUGAGCCACUUGUCGACCUCUUCUUUCACCUCGUUGUCUGACGCAAAUUUCUGUCCCCCAAGGUGUUUUUUGAGCGCUGGAAACAUAUGGUAAUCGCUGGGGGCCAAAUCGGGACUGUACGGAGGGUGUCCAAAGAUAUCCCAACCGAAUUCUUCAAGUUUUGCGGUCGUUUGGCGUGAGACAUGUGGGUUGGCAUUGUCGUGAAGCAAAACCACUCCCUUGGUGAGUCGUCCCUGUCGUUUGUUCUGUAUGGCUCGCCGCAGCUUGGUGAGAGUCUCGCAGUAUCUUUCGGAGUUGAUUGUUUCUCCUUUGUGCAGGUAAUCCACCAGCAGAACCCCCUUCCUGUCCCAAAACACAAUUGCCAUAACCUUUCCCGCAGACAGCAUUGUCUUGAACUUUUUGGGCUUUGGUGAGGUCGUGUGACGCCACUGUUUUGAUUGUACUUUCGUUUCGGGGGUAUAAUGAUGUGCCCACGCUGUAUUUAUCUGUGUUGUAAAUUUCUUCCAUAAUUAAGUCAUGAUAUAAAUUUUUGCAGGUAAUUGAGAAGUUGUUGGAGAAUUUAUCAAUUGGAGUAAUAAUAUAAUCUUCUUGGAUAUUGUUGAUGUUUUCUUUUAAUGUUUGAAGGAGAAGUUUUUUUCACAUUUUAGAGUAUUGUGGUAGUAUUCCUUGAUUUGUUUGAUAAUUUCAAAUUUCCAAUUAAAGAAGGUAAAUUCAGGUAUCUUAGGCUUGUUCUAAUAAAUUAAGAUCUUGGUUGAUGGAAUUAACCGUGUUGUAAUUGUGGUUAAUCGGAAGUAUAAAUUUAUAGCUGUUGUUAAGCAUAAGUUGUAAUUCUUUAUUUAAGAAUGAAAAGUCACUAGUUAUAAUAUGACCCUUAAUUGCAAUUAUUAGGCGUUACUGUAACUUCCUGGUACAGCCGCUUGGGAAGUGACUCCAAGCGCUGCGGUCCUUCUGGGAGAGUUUUUCUGAGCAAUGUGUUUCUACUCUUUUGAAGAGAGCUUUAACUACUCAAAUUUUAUGAUGUACUGUGCCAAAAGAAUUGAAAUUUAAGUAAUUUCCUGUGUGGAUUGAUUUUCUAAAAAUUAUUCUUUCAUUUUGGUUAUGCUUUCUUUCAAGUUGGAUAUCUAAAAAUGCUAAAUAAUUAUUAUUUUCAUGUGUGAGUCAAUUACAGAGGGUGUUCACACUUAUAGGGGGGGAAACAAGUUUUAUUAUAAAAUAUUAAAAAUUAACACCAUAUUUGUAAAAUUUCAAAUGUUCUAUUUGAAAACCUUUUUGCUUAUUUACAGAACGGCACCUGAUUUUCCACGAUAGCAGACACUUUCUGAUCAUGGUCAUACUCAAAAGAUCCCAUUCUUUCUUUACCACUUUCCAGAGACCUUCAAUUGUCUUAGGGUGUCUUUCCAAGUGCUCUUUUAAGGCAUCCAAAAAUGCAAAAAUCUAUCGGGGCUAAAUCAGGAGAUUUUACAGGGAUUCUGUUCUUUGGAAUAGUGUUGAUUCCUGUUCUUUGCCUUAGAUCUUCCAAAUAAUCUUGGGUUGAAGAUGAGGUAUGACUUGUGGCGUUAUCAUGGUGAAACCAGACUUUGUUGCUCUGUUUUCCAUAGAUAGAGGGAAUUCAUUUAAAAAUAUAGGUUCUAAAAUGUUGUUUUGAUAUUACUCCUAGUUUAUUUUGGCAUUUCUUUCAACUUUUCUUAUUUUUAAUUUUCCUUCAUAUGAUAUACCGCAUGCCACCAUAAAUCCUUUUGGGUAACUUUCGGCACAUUCCUUCAACCAAAUUGGCCUAGAUUUUUCCACCCUUUUUUGAUAGUAUAUAGCUCUUUUUCUGUCGCAAUUGGUUAAAUAUACCCAUGCUUUGUCAUAUGUAACAAUAAAUUUCCAUCUAUCAGCAGCCAAGAAAUUUUCAUAAAAAUAUCUGCUGAUAGUGUGUCGCUGACGAAUAUGGCUCUGAAACAAUUUGUGAACCGCAUGUUUUUUUGUAGCUUUUAGGCCUGUGGUUUUGUGGAGUGCUGCACUCCACACACCUCAUUUCCCUUUUUGAGGCAAACUCUGGACUUGAAUCUGGCUGGUUGAUGGAUUGCAAGGUUCUUGAAUGUUUUCCACCAUGUGUACCCCUUGUUCUUGGUACGGUCCAACUUGUAAUAAAGCUGGGCCAUGGACACUCGAUAGAGAGCGUCGACACUAAAUUGUGCGUAGCGCACUGGUGACAGUAGUCCUUGGGUGGAGACUGCGUCGAAACCAAUGCCUCUGAUGGUGAUGGGCACGGCGUAUUCAGUUGGGGUCUGCUUUUCAGCGGCCGCCAACACAGGAGGAGCUUAGAUGAAGAGCCUGCUCUCCAAUUCUUUCUUGAGAUCAGACAUAAGUUCAGCGUUCUUCUUUUCACGAAAUUGGAGACUGCGCUGAGUUCGCUUUUCUUCAUUCUUCUUCUUCAGGGCCUGUGGAUGGAAGGCACUCCUGGGGUUAUCACAUUUCUUGGGGGGAGGAGGAGAGGUGAAUUAAAUUCACGUGAAUCCUCACGAUCAUAACGUUGAUGGGGACGGUCGAUUGCGCUCUCGAUGAUAAGCCAUAUAUACAUACAUCAUCAUAUUGUUGAGUUCCCGUUUUUAGACCAAUGGGAAUGGAGCAUGUAAGGAGUGACUUAGUAAAAUUUCCUUAUUAAGAUAUACAAGUGUGACAUAGAAAUAGACAAAUAUAGGACUUAAACAGCUAAGGUUAUACUUGAGGAGAUAGAAUAUCAGAUAAUAUAUAGGGUACAGAAGGAUUUGAGGACUACGCAACCCCAAGUGAAAACUUUCUUCCAUGCCAGGAGUGGGAGGGAUCCCCAAAGGAGGCCCAAAAUCGGGAGGCCCGUUGACAGGUCCUUCCUGGAAUGUAUAGGGCGUCGGGAAGGUCUAUGGAAUGUGGAGUUCCAACAUCCACCCCCCCUUUUUUCCUUCUUCUUCUGCGAAAGAGAUAAUGGCGGGCCCCCCCAAAGAGGGCUCAGCUAUCCCUUUAUGAGACUUCUGGAAUAAUGUCCUUCCUUGACUUUAUUCGCGAAAGCUAGUACGACUUAUUCUUUACUAUCCUCCCUCAAUACCCUUGUCUAGCACCAAUCUCUUCCAGAAUUAUCCAUAGUCAAUUUGUGGCAUAUACUGUGCAACAUCCAUGAAGUCAUUAUUGAUUAGACAAUCUAUAAAGACACCUUCUGGCGAUUUAGCAACCCACUGGAGACGCUGGGAACUAUUUCAGAGAGGGAAAUCAUAGCAAUAGAUCUCUAUAAUUUCUACAGACCAAUUGUAAAUAGAUCCAUACACAAAAGAUAUAGUGCGGAAAGUUUAGGACAGAUGUGUAAAGAGAUUCCUCAUUAAACUACGGCUCACAUGUACUUGUGAAGAAAGGAGGGAAACAUUGAAUUAUUCUCGUUCAUACACUAAAUUAAAUGAUCUAUGAAGUAAUGGUCGGCUCUCCCAUCAAAAUAGACGCUGGAAUUGAUCGCCAUCCAUUGGCCGCCUCUACAGACCAACGGACUCGGGUCCGUGACACGCCCAUUUUGUGUCAAAUUCCCUGAGAUCAUCCAACAACUUUAAGGGAUCUCAGAUAGAGAUGAACCUGUUGUUAUUAGAAACUAUAAACCUGAAUAUAAGACCAAAUUAACAAUUUCUAUAGAAGUAUAAUAUGUUGGAAUCAUUAUUUCAAAAUUAGAUAUCAAGAAGUACCAGGUUCAGAUUUUUAUUAGUAAUAAGAUCUGCUUAAACAUAUAGGUAUCCUUUUAAUCCCGAUUUUUAUAACUAAGAUUCAACAAAAUGCGUUGAAUUAGGUUACUAUCUGGAUAUAUGGAAAGGACUCUAUUUGUAAAGAUUAUACCAAAAUCCAACAAAAUAAGCUAUAAAAACAAGCAAGACUUAUACUAUUGACAAUGACAUUUGUAAUAUAUUUAAAACAAAAAGGGUUUCAAUAACAUCAUGAGGGGAACAAAACCAAUGAGUGAUAAGGCAACAUGGGUCUUUACUAAGAUUAAAUCAACGAAUAAUAUAAUGGUAAGUAUGAUGGAAAAACACACUGAAACACAGGCAGGAGAGCUGGCCUAUUUAAUCACUGAGGGCAUGACUGGCACUUUCGACAGUACAUGUGGUCAGCAAUUUAUUGGAAGGCUUGAUUGUUAGUAACAUUCACUCCAAAUAGGUAAUAAAAUUAGGGGGAUAUAUGUACAUAUGGUACAGCAGCUCCCAGCACGGAUGUCUCUGGAUGUCACUCGUGUCUUCCUCUCCACCAGGCAUCAGCUUUCGGCAUGGAAGUCUGGUGUCCUCAAGUGUCUAGUUUUAUUUGUACGUGUGCUCUUUGUACACCCUUCGUCUCGGCCCUUCUGCAGCGGGCUUUGGGUCUUUAGAGCACCGUCGGCCAUCGUUGGGAGU
rnacentral:piRNA from 1 species